rnacentral:lncRNA from 1 species
AGGCCACCGCACAAACACAGACUGGUCCAAGCUCCAAAGCCAGCACGCAGCGGAGUGGAAAAAUAAUAACUCGCUCCGGAACAACUACAACUACCCCCACCCUCGCCGCUGCUGACGCGAGCUGUCUUGACCGGCGGCGAUUUCUUUCUUUUCUCUCUCUUUCUCUCCCUCCCUCCCGUGCCUGCACCAACCUUUAACUGCUACGAUCGAUCGAUCGAGCGGGGGUGGGCGAGGGAGGAAGGUUCCAGUCCAGUCGUACGGCACAUGGCGUCGGCGGCGAUGGAGCUGCUGGGGAGAUCCUUCUUGCCGGGCCCUGCGGCGGGCGCGGCGGGCCGGGAGCGGGGAGGCGGGCCCUGCUUCGCCGCGGUCGGA